UACGUAGGUGGCAAGCGUUGUCCGGAAUUAUUGGGCGUAAAGCGCGCGCAGGCGGUCUUUUAAGUCUGAUGUGAAAUCUUGCGGCUCAACCGUAAGCGGUCAUUGGAAACUGAAAGACUUGAGUGCAGAAGAGGAGAGUGGAAUUCCACGUGUAGCGGUGAAAUGCGUAGAUAUGUGGAGGAACACCAGUGGCGAAGGCGACUCUCUGGUCUGUAACUGACGCUGAGGCGCGAAAGCGUGGGGAGCAAACAGG
rnacentral:rRNA from 1 species